UUCUGUUUUUUUUUUUCCUCUUAAAUAAAGCUUUAAGCGUUCCAAAUCAUUGAAUUACUGAGAAGAUUAAAUGAGGGUAAAACAAUCCUUGAUACAUACCAACCAUCCAAUAAGAUUUGGCUGCAAUCACUACUUGUCAUCAUCAGUGACUGUAACAGAAGCAUGAAGACCAUAGCAAAGAGUCUGGAUACAGUGAAACAAGAAAUCGAGAGCCUUGUUAUUUCCUGCCUAAGUUCUUUCUGGCUGUAAGUCUCUGAUGUUGGCAAGUGACAGACCCCUAUGGCCAAUGAAUCACAACUUAAAUGAGUACCAAGUUCCCAGCUGAUAUGUGAAAAGGAGCUCAGUGAGAGGUACUUAUGUCCUUUGUGUACUUAAAAUAUUGCCCUUAAUGAAUAAGUCCGUGUGUUCAUUUUUAUUACAAAAGUAGCAGACCUAUCUUACUUUCAAUAUUACAAGGACAAUGCUUGCAAAGAUGAACAAAGGACGUUUAAAGAUACAGGGUCUGAAAGCUUCCGAAAGCCACAUAGUGAGAGAUAUUAAAACAAGUUGAGAGAAUUUGAUGUCAAAGGCAAGAUCAUAUCUGAAGCAUUUCUCAACACUGUAUAAAAUGCAAAAACAAAGAGAAACAAAACUCCUUGGAGAAGUUUCUGCUCAAUACGCAAGCCACCGACCCUUAGCGAAUGUUCCCAAUAGCAAUCAAUGAGCCCCUAACAAGAGCUGGAAGGACUGGGGCAGUAGGAACAACACAGACCAUUUGCUCUGAUUCAACGAUUUUUAUGAGCACCAUUAAGUGAAAAUGGGCAAGUAACUCUGUGGCUCAGGGCAAAGCCCCCACAGCGAUGUGAUGAAAAAUCUUGGCAAGAACCCAUGAAAGAGAACCCUUCAAAUCAAAUCAAACAAAUGCGGAUCUACUAGGAGGAAGGGCCUUGUUUUUCAUUUAAAAUAAUCUUUUAAAGAGUAGACAAUAAUCCAAACACCUCUGGGUUACUAUAUCUUCUAGGAGAAUACUGAUUUUGAUAAAAAUAUUUAAAUCAAAAAUUUUAGGUAAUUUUACCUUCAAAUAGCUUAGGCACCUUAGACCAAAGUUUGCACAUUCUACAAAUAUUGACACAAUAACACCAUUUUAAAUCUUUACCCACCAUUUGUUGGGUUAUGUCAAAUGUAACUCAGGAUAAAAAGUUGUUCAGAUAAGUGAUUGGUACAAUUGGAAUUUAUAGAUUAAAAAUUUGUUACAAGGAAUUAAAA
rnacentral:lncRNA from 1 species